UACGUAGGGGGCUAGCGUUGUCCGGAUUUAUUGGGCGUAAAGAGCGUGUAGGCGGCCAGGUAGGUCUGGUGUGAAAACUCGAGGCUUAACCUCGAGAUGUCAUCGGAAACCAUCUGGCUAGAGUCCGGAAGAGGAGAGUGGAAUUCCUGGUGUAGCGGUGAAAUGCGUCAGAUAUCAGGAAGAACACCAAUGGCGAAAGCAGCUCUCUGGGACGGUACUGACGCGAGACGCGAAAGCGUGGGGAGCGAACAGG
rnacentral:rRNA from 1 species